UUAAGUUCAGCGGGUAUUCCUACCUGAUCCGAGGUCAACUUCAGUGCUAAGAGUUCCGGCAGGACCCCGCCCGGCGCCCGGAGCGACGUGUAAUACUACGCUCGGGACCGGGACGGGACCGCCGCUGUCUUUCGGGGGCUGCAGGCGCAGGUCCCCAACACCAGGCAGGGCCUGAGGGUAGAAAUGACGCUCGGACAGGC
rnacentral:misc_RNA from 1 species